AUAUAUAUAUAUGUGUGUGUAUGUGUGUGUGUGUGUGUAUAUAUAUAUAUAUACACACACACACACAUACAUAUAUACACACAUAUAUA
rnacentral:miRNA from 1 species